GGUCGGUUGCCCGAGUGGUUAGGGAUCGGUCUGCAAAACCGGGGACAGCAGUUCGAAUCUGCUACCGACCUCCA
rnacentral:tRNA from 1 species